rnacentral:lncRNA from 1 species
CAGUUAUACCAUUAGACCAGGUGAACACACCUGUAUAGAACCAGUUAUACCACUAGACCGGUGAACACACCUGUAUAGAACCAGUUAUACCACUAGACCAGGUGAACACUCACCUGUAUAGAACCAGUUAUACCACUAGACCAGGUGAACACACCUGUAUAGAACCAGUUAUACCACUAGACCAGGUGAACACUCACCUGUAUAGAACCAGUUAUACCACUAGACCAGGUGAACACACACCUGUAUAGAACCAGUUAUAA